UAGACGCCACAACUCCUGAUACUGCUCCUGGGAAAUCGUCCACGAAAAAGGGAAAUGUGGGGAAUAAUUAAAAAAGUGCUUGAAAAGUGUUCUCUAAACCGCGCACUUCGUUUUGGUGUAAUUUUCAAUGGUGUGCACCUGUUAUUUUUAUCGAAAAUCGCGAGAACAGUGGCGGCUCCUCUUGCCCAAUGCAGUGCUAACAAAGGAAGUCAAGAAAUGCCUCUCCGAGGCCAGAGCUCUCUCUGCAACGACCAGGACUAACUUCUCUUUCUAAAAAUGACCGAAACAGUGGUGGGGGACGUAUGUGCAGACAUGUAGCACACUUUGUCAUGGAUCGUCUCCUUUAUGGGCCCAGUAUUCGGUCGGACCUGAUACCUCAGUGGACGGUAGUGGUCGCUUUCUUUACCUACUUGAUCAAGGACAAUGUAGAGUGCAAACAGGCGGUUUUAAUAGAAAACCUAUUGGAGAUGAUUUUGGAUGUCCAGCUGGACCAGAGCUGCUGGGUGCGGAAGAUCGGGGUAUGCCCCGGAGAAUUUGAAUAAGGAGCUCGUGGUGCGGUACUGCAAUCAGAUACUGGGCAUUUCAAUGAACUGUUUGGAUUAUCACAAUUUGGGGAACGAAAGCGAGCUGAUCCUGGAGUCCCUGCAAUCCUUCUCGAAACUCCUGAACAGUUUGCCAGGGUUCAAAUUCAGUUCCUUUCAAGUUACCGGAGCAGUGAGGAUCAAGUUGCUAUUCGGUCAAGAGGAUCCAGGUCUAAGGAGAUCCUCGAUCCAGUUAUUAGGAGAUCUGGCAACAUCCCUUGGCCAGGAGACCAAUUUUGAGGCAUUCAAGGAUCGAGUGAGAUCCAAGGGAACCUCAUCACUUUACUCUUGCAUCUAUGCAAUCCAGACGUGUAUGUUGUCAAGGCCUCUAAAAGUACAAUCCAGAAGGUUGGCCCUUAUCUGGAUUUUCCGGAGGUAUACCGCAUGAUCCAGGAGUGUUUGGGCGACGACACCGACUUGAUGUUCACGGAUUUUAUUAAGGAGUUAAUUAAACGCAUAGGAUUUAUGGAAUCAAUGAUAUCAAGGUUACUUGGGGAUCAAAUCGAGGACGAGUUGGUUUAAUGGUGGUGUCUAAGCGCCAAUCCCGCCCUUGUCACCGGUUUUUUCUACGCCAAACUACUAAAGUUUCACUGGAAACUGUCUGCGAUAAACUGAUUAGACUGAUGCAAGACGAGUCAGAAGAAGUUAGGAUUAAGGCAAGUCAAGCUAUAUCGUGUUUGUUUUUAUAAUUAUUUAUUUUUAAUUUUUACAACGGGGCACCUUGUACGUAAUAAUAAAAAACUAAAAAAAUUGUAGUUUUUGAAAAAAAAAACGAAAUUUCGGUUUUUUACCAUUAACAUGUACUUUAUAAGUUCGUAAAUUUUGCAUAACUUUUUUGGUAUUUAAGAUAGAGCUUUCAUUUAAAAACUGUCAAGUACUCCUUGCAAAGGGGCACCUUGUACGUAAUAAUCAAAAACUAAAAAAAUUGUAGUUUUUGAAAAAAAUCGAAAUUUCGGUUUUUUACAAUUAACAUGUACUUUUUUAGAUCGAAAAUUUUGCAUAACUUUUUUGUUAUUAAAGAUAGAGCUUUCAUUUAAAAACUGUCAAGUACUCCUUGCAAAGGGGCACCUUGUACGUAAUAAUCAAAAACUAAAAAAAUUGUAGUUUUUGAAAAAAAUCGAAAUUUCGGUUUUUUACAAUUAACAUGUACUUUUUUAGAUCGAUAAUUUUGCAUAACUUUUUUGUUAUUAAAGAUAGAGCUUUCAUUUAAAAACUGCCAAGCACUCCUGGCAAAGGGGCACCUUGCACAUAAUUAUUAAAAUUGAAAAAAUUAUAGUUUUUGAGAAAAAUCUAAAUUUCGGUUUUUUACAAUUAACAUGUACUUUUUUGGAUCGAAAAUUUUGCAUAACUUUUUUGUUAUUAAAGAUAGAGCUUUCAUUU